AACUUAGGCCCAGCUUAUCACUACCCCAGGCUGUUAGUAAGCAGAAUGCUACUGACGCCAAUUGAUAGAGCUCAUUGGUCUGUGAUGAAAGGUUCAUCAUCAAUUUAAGAAACCAAGGAACACAAGUACGAGAUAAUAUUGACAAAACAGCCAAAAAUGCAAUCAACACUACCAACCUGUUUAAGAAAAGGCAAGUUUUAAUAGAUAAAUGAUUUCAAUGCUCAUGGAAAUUUGGAUGGAAAGAAAAGAGGAAAAAAAUAAAUAAUUAUUAAUAGGAUGCUGCAUUGCUGCUACCUGCCUAAUCUUUGGGGAAGUAAGCAAAGUAAUUUUUUUUUCAAACAAGAACACCCCUAUAUCUCCUGUUUUACAUUUUAAAAGUGUGUAGGGACAAAAAUCUCUUUUGACUUAGGCCAAGGAACAUUGUUCCCAAUCUAUAUUUCUCUUUAUCUCUCCAUCUCCCCCACCACCAGGCGCCCCGCCCCCACCCCCUCCCCCAACAUCGACUGCUCCAAGGU
rnacentral:misc_RNA from 1 species